rnacentral:rRNA from 1 species
CACGUAGGGUGCGAGCGUUGUCCGGAAUUAUUGGGCGUAAAGAGCUCGUAGGCGGUGUGUCGCGUCGGCCGUGAAAACCUGCAGCUUAACUGUGGGCUUGCGGUCGAUACGGGCAUCACUGGAGUUCGGCAGGGGAGACUGGAAUUCCUGGUGUAGCGGUGAAAUGCGCAGAUAUCAGGAGGAACACCGGCGGCGAAGGCGGGUCUCUGGGCAACAACUGACGCUGAGGAGCGAAAGCGUGGGGAGCGAACAGG